CCUGCCCAAUGAAUUAAUUUUUUAAUGGCCGCAGUAAUUUGACUGUGCUAAGGUAGCAUAAUAAUUAGUUUCUUAAUUAGAAGCUGGAAUGAAAGGUUUGAUGAAAAAAUAACUGUUCUAUUAAAAUUAUUUAGAAUUUUAUUUUUAAGUAAAAAAGCUUAAAUUUUUAUAAAAGACGAGAAGACCCUAUAGAGUUUUAUAUUUUAAUAAAUUAAAUUUAUAUUUAGAAUUGAAAAUUUUUAAUUUGUGAAUUUAUUUAAUUGGGGUGAUUGAAAAAUUUAAUAAACUUUUUUUUUUAUUUAACAAUAAUUAUUGAUUUAUUGAUCCUUAUUUUUAAGAUUAAAAGAAUAAAUUACCUUAGGGAUAACAGCGUAAUUUUUUUUUAGAGUUCAAAUUAAAAAAAAAGUUUGCGACCUCGAUGUUGGAUUAAAAUAAAGUUUUGGUGUAGAAGCUA
rnacentral:rRNA from 1 species